rnacentral:lncRNA from 1 species
GUCGCGGGGUCACGCGGUAACGGGGUCGCCCGGUCGUGGGGUCGAGCGGUUGAGGGAGUGUCAGGGGCGCGUCGUGGGCGUCGCGGGGGUGCGGAGUCGCGAGACUGUAAGCACGAGGGCAGGCGAGCGUUCGCAGGGACAGGGGAGCGCACGUGAGGGCAGGAGGCAAGCAGGGCUUUCGGGCGCUACAAGGGCAGCGAGGUUAACCUGGUAGGGUUUGCGUUGAGUUGCAACGCGGGGACUACGGGUGGAGUAGUAGUGUAGGCGAGGCUAAUCCGG